rnacentral:lncRNA from 10 species
GCAGAGCCGCGGCCGGCUGGAGGGUGGGCGGUGCCGGUGAGGCCGGCAGGACCUGAGCGGGUUUGGGAGUCCGCUAGGCGCUGCCCCCACUAGAGUCGGACUCGCAGUGCACCCCCCGGGAGGGAGGCAGGUAGCCCUACAGCCGGAGGACAGCAGAGAUGCCCGACAGCAGGCCGAGCUGGUCGGGGGCUGCGAGAUAGCGCCGGCUGGAAGGCCCGCAGGAGUCAGAGGUGAUGAGCCGGGCAGGUGGGUGGAAAGCCGGCGGCGGUCAGAGAAUGGAUGCCAAGCGAGACUGCCAAUGACUCAGGACGUCCCAGUGGAGUCACAGCGUGAGCCCAGCACCGAGGUUUUCAGAGUCAGAUGACUGCAGAGAAGAUGCUGAUGGCACUACUGGCCAAAACGGGCUUCACUGGAGCUGGGGUGUGUGCAUUAUAAAGUGGGGGAUCAUACUGUCACUGUCCGGGCCAGGAGAUCCGUGGAAUAUUAGGGGAGAAGCAGUCCCAGGGUCCAGACUGCAGGGACUGGUAGUCGGGGCUCGGUGGGCCAGAGGUGAAUGAAGGGGGAGUUUGCUCAAGAGGGUGCACUUUGGGAAGGUGAGGUGGGUGGAUCCUUUGAGAUCAGCCUGGACAACGAAAUGAGACCCAGU